rnacentral:rRNA from 1 species
AGCAGCCGCGGUAAUUCCAGCUCCAAUAGCGUAUAUUAAAGUUGUUGCAGUUAAAAAGCUCGUAGUUGAAUUUCGGGGUUAGUAGGUUGGUCAUGCCUCUGGUAUGUACUGGUCUCAUUGAUUCCUCCUUCCUGAUGAGCCGUAAUGCCAUUAAUUUGGUGUUGCGGGGAAUUUGGACUGUUACUUUGAAAAAAUUAGAGUGUUUAAAGCAAGCUAACGCUUGAAUACAUUAGCAUGGAAUAAUGAAAUAGGACGUUCGAUCCUAUUUUGUUGGUUUCUAGGAUUGACGUAAUGAUUAAUAGGGAUAGUUGGGGGCAUUAGUAUUCAAUUGUCAGAGGUGAAAUUCUUGGAUUUAUUGAAGACUAACUACUGCGAAAGCAUUUGCCAAGGAUGUUUUCAUUAAUCAAGAACGAAAGUUAGGGGAUCGAAGACGAUCAGAUACCGUCGUAGUCUUAACCAUAAACUAUGCCGACUAGGGAUCGGAUGAUGUUAAUUUUUUAAUGACUCA